UUUUUAAUUUCACAUUUCACAUCAAUUUUCAAUGUUUUAUGUUUUAAAUAUCAAAACAUUUUUAUUCAUUUGUAAUUGCAGGUUAAAGUAUUCCAUGUCCCACAGAAACAGUGUGUAAAAACGUCUAUUGGCACUUGAGAUGCAGCUUCUGUUAUCCCUCCAUUGCAAAGACAGGGUCGCGGGAAGAUUUUUUAGGUUGGGGCAAAGCCAUAUAGAAUAUAAUAAUAUUAUAAUAAUAUUUAACUUAAUAUAAAAAUCCAUUCAUGUGAUACAACAAGCAAUCAUUGGCUAUUAUCCGCCAAAAUGCAGAUUCGUCACGCGCCAACUUCUUACACAAAUAAGAUUGGGAAAGACUAUUAGUAAGUCUGAUUUUAUUUAUUAAUUUACUUACAAGAAAUAACAGUAAAAUAUAUUAAAAUAACUAAAUUAUAUGCAUAUUUACUUUUGAGUUGAAAACAUUAUUAAUUAAGAAAUAUUUAGUAAGAUCUUUCAAUCGUUAGGGAGGCAACUUUUCUGGUGGCCCGCAGCCAUGGUGUCAGGGCAUUUAUGGAGGAAAUGGCUCAGCGCCUGCGACAUCUUCUGAGUCUCCGAAAACCACACAGUGAACCCAUUUACAGUGGAGCCAAAUAGCCAUUUUGGCAAAUCAAGGAAGGCCAUUUUCUUGCAUAGCCCUUUAAGCAGAGAGCAAAUGGUGGGCACAGAUGUGCGUUGAUCGUUUCCUCCAGGGUGUAAGUCUGGUGUACCCUCUUUCGUGAGAGCUGCUGUAGUCGAGGGGUUUACCCAUGCUGAAUAGGGGGCGCGCCACAUCUUGGUAAGCCUGUCGUGGAUGGCUGGCAAGAACAAAUCAGGCUUCAGAAGAAUGGGAAAAGAAAGAGUUUUCCCUUGUGGGUGGCAGUGGCUCAGUUGUUCAUGUAGGUUGUCUACAAACCGGAAGAUUGUCGGUUCAAUCCCUGGCUCCACCUGACCAAGUGUCGAGGUGUCCUUGAGCAAGACACCUAACCCCUGCUUCUCCCUAUGAGCUGGAUGGAGCCUUGAAUGGCUGACACCACAGUUGGUGUAUGAAUGAAUGGUGUGAAUGGGUGAAUAUGAUGCAAGUUGUAAAGCGCUUUGGAUGGCCAUUGGGUCUGUUGAAAGCGCUAUAUAUAUGCAGUCCAUUUACCAUCCAUACAUAACGAGAGUGAAUGUUGGAAAGGGAACCAGCAGGCACUUUUUUUUCUGGAGACAGCAAGACGGAUGACGCAAAUACAGAUUACAAACCUCACCAAGGUAUGUCACACCGUGCGAUCAAACUGUUCUACUAAUAAAUUCAUUUCUUAUUAUGCUGUGUACUCGAUGGCUUAAAGGUUUGGUGUUUUUAUUGUUCCUCAGAUCAGGCGAAGAAUAAGGCCUAUGUUUUCAGAGGACUUGCUAACAUGAAGAAAAUGUCCAGAGUUCCACCUGUGAGCCAGGACUGUCAAAUAGUAAGAGACCGUGAAAAGGAGGGAACUUUAAGCUUUAAGCUGUGGAGUCAGAUGGAGGCCUCACAUUUACCUCAAAACAGCAUUGCAGAUGACUCUAUUACUACUAGAACCAACUCAAGCACACAAUGGUGACACACAUUUAUAAGAACUUUCCCUGUGAUAUGAACAUUUCCCUUUGGUAAUUAUUCAGAUUAUUCUCAUUCUCAUUGUGUAGCAUUGGUUUAAAGGGUUAGUGCACCCAUAAAUGAAUAUUCUGUCAUUAAUUACACACCCUCAUGUCAUUGUAAGAAUUCAGAAUAGCAUGCACUGUUUACGUUCAGUGCAUGGAUAUUCUCCAAAAUGGCACCAGGGUGAAAUCAAGGAGACAAAUUGUUGAAUAAAGUUGUUAUUCUUGUUUUCUUUGCGUACAGAAAGUAUUCUCAUAUCUUCGUAAAAUUAUUGUUGAACAAAAAAAAAUAUCAGUGUCAUAAGACAGUAAAAUAUUUAAUUAUCUAUUAUGUAAGAUGCUUGUAAUGAUUUCUUUAAUAGUAUGAAUCAUUCCUGCUAAGAUACAGUCAUAAUCUACUUAUAUGAUUUGUAUUAUCCGGGAAAUGUACAAAUACUGUGGCAUAUGGAUAUUACUUUUUUAUUUGAAACAAAGAAACAUGCAUUUUAUGUAAAGCUGUACUGAAAUAUGUACAAUACAAAUAAACUAAUUGUAAUUUAACUCUAGAUAUGUAUACAACUUAUUUGUCUGUGUGUGUGUGUGUGUGUGU